GGAGGGGUGCAAGCAUUAAUCGGGAUUCAUUGGGCGUAAAGGGCGCGUAGGCGGGGAAGAAAGGUCAGAUGUGAAAGCCCGGGGGGGCUCACCCUCGGACCCGCAUCUGAUACUUCUACUCUAGAGGAUAGGCGGAGAAAAUGGAAUUCCACAUGUAGCGGUGAAAUGCGUAGAUAUGUGGAGGAACACCGGUGGCGAAGGCGAUUUUCUAGCUUAUUCCUGACGCUAAGGCGCGAAAGCCAAGGGAGCAAACAGGAUUAGAUACCCUGGUAGUCUUGGCCGUAAACGAUGUAUACUUGGUGUGGCUGGUCUCAACCCCGGCCGUGUCGGAGCUAACGUGUUAAGUAUACCGCCUGAGGAGUACGCUCGCAAAGGGUGA
rnacentral:rRNA from 1 species